rnacentral:tRNA from 1 species
GGUGGAUGUAGCUCAAUUGGUUAGAGCGCCUGUUUGUGGCACAGGAGGUUGAGGGUUCAAGUCCCUUCUUCCACCC